rnacentral:rRNA from 1 species
UACGGAGGGGGCUAGCGUUGUUCGGAAUUACUGGGCGUAAAGCGCACGUAGGCGGCUUUGUAAGUUAGAGGUGAAAGCCCGGGGCUCAACCCCGGAAUUGCCUUUAAGACUGCAUCGCUAGAAUUGUGGAGAGGUAAGUGGAAUUCCGAGUGUAGAGGUGAAAUUCGUAGAUAUUCGGAAGAACACCAGUGGCGAAGGCGACUUACUGGACACAUAUUGACGCUGA